GCAAUAAGCGGAGGAAAAGAAACUAACAAGGAUUCCCCUAGUAACUGCGAGUGAAGCGGGAAAAGCUCAAAUUUAAAAUCUGGCGGUCUUUGGCCGUCCGAGUUGUAAUCUAGAGAAGUAAUGCCCGUGCUGGACCGUGUAUAAGUCUCCUGGGAUGGGGCGUCAUAGAGGGUGAGAAUCCCGUCUUUGACACGGACUACCAGUGCAUUGUGGUAUGCUCUCAAAGAGUCGAGUUGUUUGGGAAUGCAGCUCAAAAUGGGUGGUAAAUUCCAUCUAAAGCUAAAUAUUGGCGAGAGACCGAUAGCGAACAAGUACCGUGAGGGAAAGAUGAAAAGAACUUUGGAAAGAGAGUUAAACAGUACGUGAAAUUGCUGAAAGGGAAACGCUUGAAGUCAGUCGCGUUGGCCAGGGAUCAGCCUUGCUUUUGCAUGGUGUACUUUCUGGUUGACGGGUCAGCAUCAAUUUUGACCGCUGGAAAAGGGCCUGGGGAAUGUGGCAGCUUCGGCUGUGUUAUAGCCCCUGGUCGCAUACAGUGGUUGGGAUUGAGGAACUCAGCACGCCGCAAGGCCGGGUUUCGACCACGUUCGUGCUUAGGAUGCUGGCAUAAUGGCUUUAAGCGACCCGUCUUGAAACACGGACCAAGGAGUCUAACAUGCCUGCGAGUAUUUGGGUGGAAAACCCGACUGCGCAAUGAAAGUGAAAGUUGAGAUCCCUGUCGUGGGGAGCAUCGACGCCCGGACCAGAACUUUUGGGACGGAUCCGCGGUGGAGCAUGUAUGUUGGGACCCGAAAGAUGGUGAACUAUGCCUGAAUAGGGUGAAGCCAGAGGAAACUCUGGUGGAGGCUCGUAGCGAUUCUGACGUGCAAAUCGAUCGUCAAAUUUGGGUAUAGGGGCGAAAGACUAAUCGAACCAUCUAGUAGCUGGU
rnacentral:rRNA from 1 species